GGCGCCGUACCCAAGUGGCUAAGGGAGAGGUCUGCAAAACCUCGAUUCAGCGGUUCGAGUCCGCUCGGCGCCUCCA
rnacentral:tRNA from 1 species